rnacentral:misc_RNA from 1 species
UUUUUUUGUUAUUAUAUUUCUUUGACAUACGUUGACUUUUUAAAUGUUUCAUAAAGAAUGAUUGGAACUGCAAUCAAGUACUAAAGGCAAUGAAGCCCGGUUCCCUCAAAGCUGAACCAAAGAUUAUAAAGUGCACAGAGUUUGGAAAGUGAGAGGUCACGCCCUGGUUAAACAGGUACGCUAUAAAUUCACUAAUGAUCCUUCCGCAGGUUCACCUACGGAAA